rnacentral:rRNA from 1 species
GAUGGGCCCGCGGCGCAUUAGCUAGUUGGUGAGGUAAUGGCUCACCAAGGCAACGAUGCGUAGCCGACCUGAGAGGGUGAUCGGCCACACUGGGACUGAGACACGGCCCAGACUUCUACGGGAGGCAGCAGUAGGGAAUCUUCCGCAAUGGACGAAAGUCUGACGGAGCAACGCCGCGUGAGUGAUGAAGGUCUUCGGAUCGUAAAACUCUGUUGUUAGGGAAGAACAAGUGCGAGAGUAACUGSYCGCACCUUGACGGUACCUAACCAGAAAGCCACGGCUAACUACGUGCCAGCAGCCGCGGUAAUACGUAGGUGGCAAGCGUUGUCCGGAAUUAUUGGGCGUAAAGCGCGCGCAGGCGGUUUCUUAAGUCUGAUGUGAAAGCCCCCGGCUCAACCGGGGAGGGUCAUUGGAAACUGGGAAACUUGAGUGYAGAAGAGGAGAGUGGAAUUCCACGUGUAGCGGUGAAAUGCGUAGAGAUGUGGAGGAACACCAGUGGCGAAGGCGACUCUYUGGYCUGUAACUGACGCUGAGGCGCGAAAGCGUGGGGAGCGAACAGGAUUAGAUACCCUGGUAGUCCACGCCGUAAACGAUGAGUGCUAAGUGUUAGAGGGUUUCCGCCCU